rnacentral:rRNA from 1 species
GAUGAACGCUGGCGGCGUGCCUAAUACAUGCAAGUCGAGCGAACAGACGAGGAGCUUGCUGCUCUGACGUUAGCGGCGGACGGGUGAGUAACACGUGGAUAACCUACCUAUAAGACUGGGAUAACUUCGGGAAACCGGAGCUAAUACCGGAUAAUAUAUUGAACCGCAUGGUUCAAUAGUGAAAGACGGUUUUGCUGUCACUUAUAGAUGGAUCCGCGCCGCAUUAGCUAGUUGGUAAGGUAACGGCUUACCAAGGCAACGAUGCGUAGCCGACCUGAGAGGGUGAUCGGCCACACUGGAACUGAGACACGGUCCAGACUCCUACGGGAGGCAGCAGUAGGGAAUCUUCCGCAAUGGGCGAAAGCCUGACGGAGCAACGCCGCGUGAGUGAUGAAGGUCUUCGGAUCGUAAAACUCUGUUAUUAGGGAAGAACAAAUGUGUAAGUAACUAUGCACGUCUUGACGGUACCUAAUCAGAAAGCCACGGCUAACUACGUG